rnacentral:rRNA from 1 species
GAUGAACGCUGGCGGCGUGCCUAAUACAUGCAAGUCGAGCGAACAGACGAGGAGCUUGCUCCUCUGACGUUAGCGGCGGACGGGUGAGUAACACGUGGAUAACCUACCUAUAAGACUGGGAUAACUUCGGGAAACCGGAGCUAAUACCGGAUAAUAUAUUGAACCGCAUGGUUCAAUAGUGAAAGACGGUUUUGCUGUCACUUAUAGAUGGAUCCGCGCCGCAUUAGCUAGUUGUUAAGGUAACGGCUUACCAAGGCGACGAUGCGUAGCCGACCUGAGAGGGGGAUCGGCCACACUGGAACUGAGACACGGUCCAGACUCCUACGGGAGGCAGCAGUAGGGAAUCGUCCGCAAUGGGCGAAAGCCUGACGGAGCAACGCCGCGUGAGUGAUGAAGGUCUUCGGAUCGUAAAACUCUGUUAUUAGGGAAGAACAAAUGUGUAAGUAACUAUGCACGGCUUGACGGUACCUAAUCAGAAAGCCACGGCUAACUACGUG